rnacentral:rRNA from 1 species
GAUGAACGCUAGCGAUAGGCUUAACACAUGCAAGUCGAGGGGCAGCACAAGGUAGCUUGCUAUCUGGGUGGCGACCGGCGCACGGGUGCGUAACGCGUAUGCAACUUGCCCUAUACAGGAGGAUAACCCGUCGAAAGACGGACUAAUACUGCGUAUGCUCACAACUUGGCAUCAAGUGGUGAGGAAAGAAAUUCGGUAUAGGAUAGGCAUGCGUCCCAUUAGCUUGUUGGUGAGGUAACGGCUCACCAAGGCAACGAUGGGUAGGGGAACUGAGAGGUUUAUCCCCCACACUGGUACUGAGACACGGACCAGACUCCUACGGGAGGCAGCAGUGAGGAAUAUUGAUCAAUGGGCGCGAGCCUGAACCAGCCAAGUCGCGUGAAGGAUGACUGUCUUAUGGAUUGUAAACUUCUUUUAUACGGGAAUAACAAGAGUCACGUGUGACUCCCUGCAUGUACCGUAUGAAUAAGCAGCGGCUAACUCCGUG